rnacentral:lncRNA from 1 species
GACAAGUUUGCUAACCAUUCUUGAGUCAUUUCUUUUCUUUUGGCCUCCCACCAAAAUCUGUAGAUCUAGUCAUCUGGAACGCAACACAUGAAGUCGUUCUUGUGCGGUACAAAGAAAAUCAAAGGUUUUCUUUAUCGUCUUAAUCUAGAGUUUACCCUCAACUGGAUUCUUGGUUUCAUAGCUAUAACAAGCUUUACUCGAGAAAAAGUUCAUCCAUCUUUCGUAAUGGUUCAUUUUUGUCCCCAUCUCGUUUCUAGCUUCUCAUCUACCAGACAUUCUAUUUUUAAAAAAAAAACGAUCAUCAAUACAUUCCUUUUCUCAUAUCACAUGCGUAACAC